AUUGAACGCUGGCGGCAGGCCUAACACAUGCAAGUCGAGCGGGGUUUUCGGACCUAGCGGCGGACGGGUGAGUAAUGCGUAGGAAGCUGCCCGAUAGAGGGGGAUACCAGUUGGAAACGACUGUUAAUACCGCAUAAUGUCUACGGACCAAAGUGUGGGACCUUCGGGCCACAUGCUAUCGGAUGCGCCUACGUGGGAUUAGCUAGUUGGUGAGGUAAUGGCUCACCAAGGCGACGAUCUCUAGCUGGUUUGAGAGGAUGAUCAGCCACACUGGAACUGAGACACGGUCCAGACUCCUACGGGAGGCAGCAGUGGGGAAUAUUGGACAAUGGGCGCAAGCCUGAUCCAGCCAUGCCGCGUGUGUGAAGAAGGCCUUCGGGUUGUAAAGCACUUUCAGCGAGGAGGAAGGGUUGUGUGUUAAUAGUACACAGCUUUGACGUUACUCGCAGAAGAAGCACCGGCUAACUCUGUGCCAGCCGCCGCGGUAAUAC
rnacentral:rRNA from 1 species